rnacentral:rRNA from 1 species
GAUGAACGCUGGCGGCGUGCCUAAUACAUGCAAGUCGAGCGAACGGACGAGAAGCUUGCUUCUCUGAUGUUAGCGGCGGACGGGUGAGUAACACGUGGAUAACCUACCUAUAAGACUGGGAUAACUUCGGGAAACCGGAGCUAAUACCGGAUAAUAUUUUGAACCGCAUGGUUCAAAAGUGAAAGACGGUCUUGCUGUCACUUAUAGAUGGAUCCGCGCUGCAUUAGCUAGUUGGUAAGGUAACGGCUUACCAAGGCAACGAUGCAUAGCCGACCUGAGAGGGUGAUCGGCCACACUGGAACUGAGAUACGGUCCAGACUCCUACGGGAGGCAGCAGUAGGGAAUCUUCCGCAAUGGGCGAAAGCCUGACGGAGCAACGCCGCGUGAGUGAUGAAGGUCUUCGGAUCGUAAAACUCUGUUAUUAGGGAAGAACAUAUGUGUAAGUAACUGUGCACAUCUUGACGGUACCUAAUCAGAAAGCCACGGCUAACUACGU